rnacentral:rRNA from 1 species
AGUGAACGCUGGCGGUGGGCCUAAUACAUGCAAGUAGAACGGUAGCACAUGAAGAGUUUGCUCAGAGGGGUGGCUGGUGGCGGAUGGGUGAGGAAUAGAUCAGAUGCCAGGUAGUGGGGGGGGACUAUUUGAGGAGAUAGAUGCUAACACCUCAGAGUAGAUGUUGGAUAAAAUAUGCUUACUUGGUACCAUGCGCGAAUUAAUAAGUCGACGUGGGAUGAGCUAGUUGGUGAGUGAGCUCCCCACCAAGGCAACGAUACAUAGCUAGCCUGAGAGGGUGAGCGGCCACACUGGGACUUAGACACGGCCCAGACUCCUACGGGAGGCAGCAGUAGGGAAUCUUCGGCGAUUGACGGAAGUCUGACCGAGCAACGCCGCGUGAGUGAAGAAGGGUUUCGGAUCGUAAAGCUCUGUUGUAAGAGAAGAACGAGUGUGAGAGUGGAAAGUUCACACUGUGACGGUAGCUUACCAGAAAGGGACGGCUAACUACGUG